CGGUGCUGCCUCCGCCUCCGCGGCGCUCCGGGACUGGCGGAGCGCGGCCGGGCCGGCCCGCAGCUCCAGCAGAACGUAGAACCCCCUCCGCUCCGGCCCGACCUGCAGCUGGCCUGCCGGGCGGUGCCUGCACCCGGUCAGAUGUGCCCAUCGGUCGCGAAGGAGAGCGGAGUCGGGACCUGCUAAGCGCUGAUCUGCUUGUGCUCUGGACCAUGGACUCAUUGAGGGUGCCCCAGGUGUGAAAAUGUCCAACAGUAACCGGGAGUUAGUGAUUGACUUUGUUUCCUACAAGCUUUCACAGAAGGGAUACAGCUGGAGCGACCUGCAGGAGGAGGAUGAGAACAGGACUGACUUUGCGGCAGAGGAGGACGAGAUGGACGGCGUCCUCAACGGGAGCCCCUCCUGGCACCAACCCGCCAGCCACGUAGUGAACGGAGCCACCGUGCACCGGAGAAGCCUGGAAGUCCACGAAAUCGUUCAAACAGCUGAUGUGAGGCAGGCGCUGAGAGAGGCGGGGGAUGAGUUUGAGUUGAGGUACCGACGGGCUUUCAGCGACCUCACUUCCCAGCUCCACAUCACCCCCGGCACGGCGUAUCAGAGCUUUGAGCAGGUAGUGAACGAACUCUUCCGCGAUGGAGUGAACUGGGGUCGCAUCGUGGCUUUCUUCUCCUUCGGAGGAGCCUUGUGUGUGGAGAGCGUUGACAAGGAGAUGCGGGUAUUGGUGGGACGCAUUGUAUCUUGGAUGACCACGUACUUGACCGACCACCUAGAUCCCUGGAUCCGGGAGAAUGGCGGAUGGGUUGCGUGGUGGGGACCAGCAUGAGGAGUCUGUGCCAGGCCAGGACUGAAAGAAACCAGCAUCUUUGUCACCAGUCUGUGACACAGAAUCCCAACAAGCUGGGCAAGGCUGAAGGAGGACUGACUGCUUCCUGCGUUGGCUCUGUGCAUCCCAGGCUCUCAGCUGGCCCUGGCCACGCAGGGCUCGGGGUGCCGGGAUGUGUGUGAUGAAAUGACUCAGCCUGUGUCAUAUGACAGAGUGCAGCUGGGAUUUCGUCCUGUGCUUUUGCUGCAAACCUUCUCAAUGGUUUCAGGUUGAGGGCAAGCCUUCCAUUCUCAGCUCUUCAGAAAUGCUUUUUUGGCCCCGUGCCAUCGCCCAGGUAACCUGCACAAGCCUCCCCUGCAGCCGCCACGCUGUACAGCUGAACGUGGGUGCCCCAGGACCCUCACGCUUUGUCGGUCCGAGAUUUUUGGACUGCGUAAGAUAAGUGCAAGUUCAAAUUCUGCUGCAGUUGUGCCCUGAGACUCAGAGGAGCACCCUGCUUAGGUGUGGAAGGGGGCACACCUGCACGUUGCACCCUAUGGGGAACGCAGCUCCCUCUGGGGUGAGUGCUGAUUCCCAAAGCUCUGCUGUUUUAAGCGUUAGCGCAUUGGGUUUCGGGGAUGCCCUAGCACCACUAAUCCUGUUUGAGAUGGCAGCCAUCAGUUUAACUUGCUGGCCAACACGCAGCAGAGCUGGCUGUGGGAGGUGACAGUGGAUAGCCAAGGCCGUGCUUUGCUUAGAGAUGAAUCCCUACCAGUGGUCUGCGAAGCUUAGCUGGGUUAUCACUUUCCGCUUUGUCCUCUGUAAUUAUUUCACAGUCUGGAUCCCUUGCAGCUGAGACGAUGCCUCUAUUGUCAUCACCUGCUCGGGAUGAAAAAAAAUACUCUUCCCCUGCCAGCUGGGUCCCUCGUGUCCCUCCGCAGUACGGGGUGUUCCACUCUGGCUGUGGGAACUGCCUGCCUGAUGGUCACUGCCGGCAGGGUCUUGGCUCGGGCUGUCCCGCCUGGCGCAGCCAUCCCAGGUAGCUGUAUCCUCGCUGGAGGCUGGGGCUCAGCCUGCAGAUCCCUGGCAGCUUUUCGUCCUGCCUGCGACCUGGGAGGCUUUUCUGCAGUGCUCUCCAGGAAAUGCCAUUGGAAUGACUUCCACUGCAGCUUCCUGCCCGGCCCGCAGCAGCAUUCCUGCCGCUAGACCGAGAACGAUGCAGAGGCGAGUUUUCAGAGCUUUGCUCUUCGCCCCAUUUACUCGGUUCUCCUUCUUUGGGGCCCUGCCUGUUUUCCUUCCUACCUCUCUCGGUGCUGCAGUUUGAUUACGUUCCUUAGAUCUGUGAUUAGAGCAGGCGCCUGGAAGGCAAAGCUCCUGCCCAUCACUGGCUGUGGCUCCAAGCAGCCCACUUAACCCCGCGGUCUUUCAGCAAAAAGGAUAGCGUUUCCUUCCCUCCCAAGGGAGCCACUGGGAACUCGGAUUCAUAAAGCAUUCUGAGGUUCUUUAA